ACAAAACCUAGACAAAAAAGAUAAAUUAUGCACAGAUCAGCAAAAAAGAAGGGUGGCAUGAGCCAAUCGGAGAUUGAGAUCUGUAACAACUACGCCAAAGGUUGUUGUGUAGGUAAGAAGGACCCAGAUUUCGCCACGCGGACUGACAUGGCAAUAGGAAUGGUACCAGAUGCAAAACUCACCAAUGGAUAGCCCAGAUUCUACCAUUACGAUCAACAACUCUGAUCGUUCCU
rnacentral:lncRNA from 1 species